CAGUGGCGGACGGGUGAGUACCACGUGGAUAACCUACCCCGAGGUGAGGAAUACCGGCGAGAAAUCGCUGACAAGACCGCAUAGGUUUGGUUGUACCAAACAAAGCUCGGGAAACCGAGCGCCACGGGAGGGGUCUGCGCCCGAUUAGUUGGUUGGUGGGGUAACGGCUCACCAAGACGACGAUCGGUAGCUGGUCUGAGAGGAUGAUCAGCCACACUGGGAUUGAGAACGGCCCAG
rnacentral:rRNA from 1 species